rnacentral:sRNA from 1 species
AAUUAAAUGGUGUCACCACCGUGGUGACCACGGAUUAUGUGGAUGACAGAAGUCGUGAGAAGACUAAAAGGACUUUCAUCACCUGAACUGUCGCUUUCUUCAGACUCGUCCACGGCUGUGGCAUCCUCCAAGAACUCUCCCCAGUCACGCACUCCAAUUCUGCCUGGGUUACAUCUGUGCCGCGCAUACCCAAGGUACCAUACAAUGGAUGCUGUGUGAGCGCACAUGCCAACAACCCGCGCACCAGCUCUACACUUGCAAUACCAUGCAACAAUGUCACCAUCCUUGUACCUAAUCCAGAGUUGAUGAUUGGGACAACAACGGGCUCCAGCUGGUAUGACAAUUUCAUGGGAAAUGAAAAUCCCGUGUCGAACGUCAACGGGCACCACUACUAGCUUUGGACCAGGUCUCUUGCAUAGGCAACAUGAAGAAUGACCUCUGGUGGUACAGGGAAAUGGAAGGGUAACCGAAGGCGGACUGAAUGGAGCCUGUUGUGAGGGGUGAAGGACCUUUUCCUCAGGUUGCUGCAGUGAUGUGCUGCUCUUUUUCUUGUCAUCCUUCCUUCGCAGAAUAGAGUCAAACAUGUGGCGACAUCUGUUGCAUAAAGAGUCUGUUUCACAUGGUGUCCUACCAGUAGGUUUGUACAGAAGAGACUUGUAUUUCUUGUGGAUAGGGUAUCUGUCUUUCUGGCGAGUUCUCCUUUGGCAGUUAAAACAACCGUAUGAUUUAGGUCCACAGCUUUUUGAACGAGGCAUCUAAAAUUUUAAGUAAAACACAAAAUUAGGCCUUACUUUUAAUGCUAUGUUUUAUUUGAAAUUUCAUUAAUUAUUUUUCAUUGAAAGAAAUUAUUCUAUUACCAGUGAAGCAUCUAUGUCAAUACAGAUGUAUAUAUAUAAUUUCUUAAACAUGUUAAUUUUCAUGGUUUUCAUUUUCCAUUUUUUUCCAGUGUGUUAACUUUUUGUUUUCUAAAUCUGAUUUUAAAAUGUUUGCUUGUCUAGAGUUACAUGGUUUGUAUUUGAGUUGUUUCCCUUGUUGGAUUAUAUUUUUUUUUGUAAUAUUAUUUCUCUUAAAAUCAUAAAAUAUUGAAUAUU